GGAGAGGUCAGAGGAGGGGGGAGAGUGAGAUUUGAGUCACCGCGGAGAAUUCCACGGAUCUACCGCGAGAAGAGGAUAAUAAGUAACCUCACGGUUGGUGGUAAAAAGUGGAAAAAGGUUAUGAGGGGGUUCCUGUUUGCUACCAGUGGCUGCUGUUUUGUUGGGUGCUCUCUCCACGUUUUCUACAGUGGCUUGGUUAUGGGGCGGGUUGUUUUCUCCUCUUUUCUGCGCUGUCUUGGUUGGAUGCUUUGAGAGUGUUUGGUGGUGGAUAGGAGUGAGGCAAACCGUGUUGCUCUUGUUCUUGAUGUGGCUCUUUCGGGAGUUGCGGAAGAUAGUAGAUAUGCUCCUCCUCUUUCUUCGGCAGUUGUUGAUGCGCUUUACUU